UUUUAAAGAACCCGAAAGUGUGCAAGCACAGGGGCAGGGGCGGAACAAAAACCAGGGUCCCGUCCUCCAAAGUUCCCUACGGCCUCCGCAACUCGAAGUGUAAGUCGAAGCAUUGCUUUGCAUUUCGACUUCUCCAUUGUUCUUAAUCACUAUUUCUAGUCAGCUCCUUCAUUCUCAGAUGACGUUAGGGUAGCAUAAACUCUCAGCAAGCGUACGGAUCUUGAAGCCAAAAGGGCCGAGGGAACUUGGUGGUGCUGCUGAUCUCAUAAACCUAUACAAGCUUUGGCCUCAUUAUGAAUCUAUUUGCAAAAAGUCCAUUCCUUUGUCAAUAUCUGAGACUCACUAUCUACAUAAUGUAGUUGGAGAUACUAAAAUCAGGAAAGGGGAAGGGAUGGAGUUGGAUUAGCUCUUUCAAACUGCCUCACAUACGAGAGAAAUAAACACACACGUACAUCUUUUUGAUUUAGAUAUUAUAGGGGACGCAUUUCAUAUGAGAGAUACUACUUCUGUUAACCUGUGUUUUGCAGAGAAGGGGACCCCUACCACUAGGGUGAAGCUAAAGAGCGAGUUUAAAGAAAAUGAGAUGAAGUGCAAAAGGCUAAAUAAAAAGGAGGCU